AGCCACCAGCGAGAUUCAAACACGCGACCCCUGGUUUACGAGAACAGUGCUCUAACCUCUGAGCUAUGGUGAG
rnacentral:tRNA from 1 species